UACGUAGGUGGCGAGCGUUAUCCGGAAUGAUUGGGCGUAAAGGGAACGCAGGCGGUCUUUUAAGUCUGAUGUGAAAGCCUUCGGCUUAACCGGAGUAGUGCAUUGGAAACUGGGAGACUUGAGUGCAGAAGAGGAGAGUGGAACUCCAUGUGUAGCGGUGAAAUGCGUAGAUAUAUGGAAGAACACCAGUGGCGAAAGCGGCUCUCUGGUCUGUAACUGACGCUGAGGUUCGAAAGCGUGGGUAGCAAACAGG
rnacentral:rRNA from 1 species